rnacentral:rRNA from 1 species
GACGAACGCUGGCGGCGUGCCUAAAACAUGCAAGUCGAACGAGGUAGCAAUACCUAGUGGCGAACGGCGAAGUAAUACAUAAGCAACGUGCCCCAAAGACUGGGAUAGCCCGGGGGAAACCCGGAGUAAUACCGGAUGUGGUCGUUACAGGGCAUCCUGUGACGAUUAAAUGGUUUUUCGCUUUGGGAGCGGCUUAUGGCCUAUCAGGUAGUUGGUGGGGUAAUGGCCUACCAAGCCGACGACGGGUAGCGGGUCUGAGAGGAUGACCCGCUCGAGUGGGACUGAGACACGGCCCACACACCUACGGGUGGCAG